rnacentral:rRNA from 1 species
GGCGAACGCUGGCGGCGUGCUUAACACAUGCAAGUCGAACGGACAGACAGAGAGCUUGCUCUCUUGAAGUUAGUGGCGAACGGGUGAGUAACGCGUAAUCAACCUGCCCUUCAGAGGGGGAUAACAACGGGAAACCGUUGCUAAUACCGCGUACGAUUCAUGAACGGCAUCGUUUAUGAAUGAAAGGUGGCCUCUAUGUAUAAGCUAUCGCUGAAGGAGGGGAUUGCGUCUGAUUAGCUAGUUGGAGGGGUAACGGCCCAUCAAGGCAAUGAUCAGUAGCCGGUCUGAGAGGAUGAACGGCCACAUUGGGACUGAGACACGGCCCAAAUUCCUACGGGAGGCAGCAGUGGGGAAUCUUCCGCAAUGGACGAAAGUCUGACGGAGCAACGCCGCGUGAGUGAUGAAGGUCUUCGGAUUGUAAAGCUCUGUUAAUCGGGACGAAAGAGUUCUGCGUGAAUAAUGCAGAAAAGUGACGGUACCGGAAUAGAAAGCCACGGCUAACUACGUGCCAGCCGCCGCGGUAA